CCAGUAGGUGGAGCUGGAGCUCAGGAAAUACUCUGCAGCUCCACUCAUCAGCACGAUGGGAUGUGAUGUGGCUGGGGGAGGAUGUACAGUCCACAGUAAACGCAGCCACGAGGACAACAUGUCAGCUUUAUUCUUUUUAUCUUGGCUCAUUGGAGUUUGUCUGGGUGUUGAAGUUUACCAAACUCCUCCAGAACUUCUCCGAAGACCCGGAGAGAAAGUCCAGCUGGUCUGCAGCCAUGAAAAGACCGACUACACGCUCAUGCAGUGGUACCAAAGAUCCCCUGGAGAGCGAGUUCUGAAACGCAUCGGACACGUGAACUACAACAACAAACAAUAUGAGGACAAUUUCAAAGAACAUUUUAAUAUCACUGGAGAUCUGAGCGGAGCGACGGCAAAGAAUGUCUCUCUGUUUGUAGACGACCUGAAGGCCCCCGAGCACAGCGCCGUGUAUUACUGUGCAGCCAGCGUUGCACACUGACUGCACACCCCCUCGGCCUCAUACAAAAACUCUGAAACAACUUAAGGGGGGGGUUUCUUGUCUUCAAAGAUUCUCAGUUGAUUCACAACUUCCAAAAAUGUAUUUAAGUCAAAGUUGUGUCAAGCGUUCGAGUGAUUUACAGAGAUUUUGUUUAUUUAUUUAUUUAUUUUUGAGUUUAAAAACUUUGUGAGAAAUAAAAAAAGGCAGCUCGCGUAAGCCGACCAAUUUUAUUUAUGCAACAGGAAGCAUUUAUAUUGUUUUG